UACCUCUUCUUUGAAUAGGAAGGAGCUGGCGCGGUAGUGGCCCAUCACACACAUGCCUUGUAUUCCGCACUAUGAGAUCCUCCUGGGAAUUUGUGCUCUGAUGAUAUUAUGUUUAUAUAAAAUGUUUUUCAAGACAUGCGAUAAUUGUUAUGAAAUGAUACGAUCGGUUAACCUUAUAUUUCUAAUGUUUUUCAAACUGCUUUCCCUUCAUCUGCUCCGUCCUUGGCGCUUGAUUUCUACCAGAUACGGAUUUCUUCGACAACAUCCUCCAGCAACCACAUAUUAGGGUUCGAUUUUGGCUUCAACGGACAUUUCAGCCAGAGUACACGCCGAUGUUCCUGCUAUCUGCUGACUUCCACCCUUCUUCUUCGAUUUCAGCCACCGCAAUCUGCGGUGACACCGCCUCAAUCACAGCCUCCGUCGGUUGGUUUUCGGUCGGGUUGUUUCAAUUUAAUGCAGAGAACAUCAAUGGUUGCAGUCUGCUGAACAUUUUAUAUCCAAUGAAUGGGUUCGCUUUUCAAUUUUGUUGAAAUUAGGGUUUAUGAGAAUGCAACAAUCGAGGAUGACGGCUAGAGCCUGAUGAAUUUGUCGAUCUAAGCCCUAUUCUCUUUUUGUUUUCGAUUCUAGAAUCCACAAUCGAUUCACUGCAAUCGAUCAUUGACACUCGCAAUAUCAUUCAGGUCAGUAGAAAUCAAUCCGUUUUCCAGGCUAUAUAGCUUUUUAAGAUUUGAAUAUGGGUGUAUACGUAUGUAGUGUUGAUGUUACAUUUAUUUUUCUUUUCAUCAAUUGAUAUUGUUUUUCUUUCA